UACAGAGGGUGCAAGCGUUGUUCGGAAUUAUUGGGCGUAAAGCGCGUGUAGGCGGCUUUGCAAGUCGGAUGUGAAAGCCCUCGGCCUCAACCGAGGAAGUGCGUUCGAAACUGCAGAGCUUGAGUGCCGGAGAGGUGGCGGAAUUCCCCAAGUAGAGGUGAAAUUCGUAGAUAUGGGGAGGAACACCGGUGGCGAAGGCGG
rnacentral:rRNA from 1 species